GGGGCGUCCGCGUCACAGUGCGCGCGCGUAUAGAAAAGUGGUAGAAAAGAACUGUCACCGGGACAACGCGUGCGGAGACACAGUUAAGCGUACUUUUCCGACACGACAACUUUACCGGACUGUGAAAAUUAGUCACGAGCCGCGAGCCAGGCUAAAGCUAAUUGAGUUAGCUAAAAUACACUAGAGGUCUCCCAACUAUGUGCCAAAGCUACGGGGCUGGAAAGGAACUGUUUACACCAACAAUAGUCAACAAGAGAAGUCUGGCUGAUAAACAACCGAAGCACGCCCACUACUGGUCGACCACAGCCUGGAAAUGUGCGGGGAACAGGUCCAACAUGAGGGUCUCCCCCACUGUAGGCCGUGUAUACCUUACAGUCAUCAGGACACCAGACCAUGAAGACACCUGGCAUCACCAACGCCAAACUGUGGACCAUGCCACCUAAAGGAAGCCAGGAUGUCGUCAGACUGGUCCAGACAAAGUAGAUCAUCUGUGGAAUUACUGGGAAU